ACAACUCUAAUCUAUAAUGGACAAACCCUGACCUUCUUCAUUUCAGUUCAAGGUUCCUUAGAAUAUGUCCCAAAUAAUUGUAUGACAAGAGUACAUGCAAUUGUCAUGUCCAAUAUGUUGGAGAAGUGAAGAACCAGUAAGAGCAAUGUGUUGAUCAUGUCAUCUAGUAUAAUCAUCAUUUUGCCAAAUCAAAUAUGAAAUGAGAAUAUCUUUACUAGAUUAUUGGUCAAAUGAUUGCACUCAAGCCUCUAGUGCUUCUAGAGUAAAAUUUUGCAACUUCUUGCCGUAGACAACCAGCUUCAGCGUGAGACCCUUAUGCAAAC
rnacentral:lncRNA from 1 species